rnacentral:rRNA from 2 species
UGGGCGUAAGCGCGCGCAGGCGGUUUCUUAAGUCUGAAUGUGAAAUCUUGCGGCUCAACCGCAAGCGGCCAUUGGAAACUGGGAGACUUGAGUGCAGAAGAGGAGAGUGGAAUUCCACGUGUAGCGGUGAAAUGCGUAGAGAUGUGGAGGAACACCAGUGGCGAAGGCGACUCUCUGGUCUGUAACUGACGCUGAGGCGCGAAAGCGUGGGGAGCGAACAGGAUUAGAUACCCUGGUAGUCCACGCCGUAAACGAUGAGUGCUAAGUGUUAGAGGGUUUCCGCCCUUUAGUGCUGCAGCUAACGCAUUAAGCACUCCGCCUGGGGAGUACGGCCGCAAGGCUGAAACUCAAAGGAAUUGACGGGGGCCCGCACAAGCGGUGGAGCAUGUGGUUUAAUUCGAAGCAACGCGAAGAACCUUACCAGGUCUUGACAUCCUCUUGACCUCCCUAGAGAUAGGGAUUUCCCUUCGGGGACAGGAGUGACAGGUGGUGCAUGGUUGUCGUCAGCUCGUGUCGUGAGAUGUUGGGUUAAGUCCCGCAACGAGCGCAACCCUUGACCUUAGUUGCCAGCAUUCAGUUGGGCACUCUAAGGUGACUGCCGGUGAC